GGAUUGGAGUCUGCAACUCGACUCCAUGAAGUCGGAAUCGCUAGUAAUCGUGGAUCAGAAUGCCACGGUGAAUACGUUCCCGGGCCUUGUACACACCGCCCGUCACACCAUGGGAGUGGGUUGCAAAAGAAGUAGGUAGCUUAACCUUCGGGAGGGCGCUUACCACUUUGUGAUUCAUGACUGGGGUGAAGUCGUAACAAGGUAACCGUAGGGGAACCUGCGGUUGGAUCACCUCCUUACCUUAAAGAAGC
rnacentral:rRNA from 4 species